AGAACCUACUGGGACCUGCCUGGGCUCCCGUCAAAUCCCAGGUGGUGUCAGCUCCAAGCUGGAGCCAUGAACAUGUCGAAAAUGCCACCCGUCUCUGUGGGCACCUUUUGGCCACCCAGCUCAGAGAGAUGGUUCCAGAACCUUGCUCUGGAAUCCAUACAAACGAGUCAGGGAACAAGACAUGAUCCUGCCCUCAGGAGGCCGCAAUUCAGAUGGAAGCAGACAAGAUGCUGGAACAGCCACCAUCAUACCAGCAGCAAUAGUUUAAAUGGAG